rnacentral:sRNA from 1 species
ACAUGCGCAGGAGGCUCAAUGACAGUCGAGCUUUGGCUAAGGCUCCGGGGAAAGGGUCUAGCCAUGCUGCAUGUGACCCGGGGGGUCUGGGGGUCCAGGGUCCGAGUAUGGCCACUGUUGCCCGCGCUCCUCGGGCCCCCCCGGGCCCUCUCAUCGCUGGCAGCCAAAAUGGGGGAGUAUCGCAAGAUGUGGAACCCCAGGGAGCCCCGCGACUGGGCCCAGCAGUACCGCGAGCGCUUCAUUCCCUUCUCCAAGGAGCAGCUGCUCCGCCUCCUAAUACAGGUGACAGUAAAUUUGGAUCAGUAUGUCUACAUGCACUUCUGGGCCCUGGGCCAGCGAGUCGGGCAGAUGCCCCUGAAGUCCAGCGUGGGCUCCAGGCGUGGCUUCUUCACCAAGCUGCCCCCUGCGGAGAGGUGAGGCGGCCCUUGUUCCCCAGCUGCAGCAAGAGGGAGCAAGGUUAGAGUCAAGAGGGGACUGACAGGUCAGUGUCUGGUUUGGGUGUCUGGGCCCCAGGCGGGAAGUUGAGAAAUGGGAGGCGUGACUCAUGCAAAUGCUGUCUUUUCUUCUCAAGGGAAAGUGAGUACUACACUCGAUUCCCAGGGGAAGAGAAAGGAUGGGGACAGUUCUCCCCAUUUUCCAAUAAGGAAAACUGAGGCUCGGAGAGGGAGGUCCACAUUCUGAAGAUGUGGCACGGCCAGGAUUCCAACAAACAACCUGCACGUCCAAUACCAGGGAUCGAUGGCGCGAUUGAACCGAUCCCCUGUGGUUGGACACAGCUGAUCCCUGGUUUCUUCCCCAUGAUUACUGAGUCGCUUUUAAGAUGGUUGUGCGACUGUAGAGCCAGAGUGAGCGUCCUA